rnacentral:rRNA from 1 species
AGUCGAGGGGCAGCAUGAUUGAAGCUUGCUUCAAUUGAUGGCGACCGGCGCACGGGUGAGUAACGCGUAUCCAACCUUCCGUACACUCAGGGAUAGCCUUUCGAAAGAAAGAUUAAUACCUGAUGGUAUGAUGAGAUUGCAUGAUAGCAUCAUUAAAGAUUUAUCGGUGUACGAUGGGGAUGCGUUCCAUUAGGUAGUAGGCGGGGUAACGGCCCACCUAGCCUACGAUGGAUAGGGGUUCUGAGAGGAAGGUCCCCCACAUUGGAACUGAGACACGGUCCAAACUCCUACGGGAGGCAGCAGUGAGGAAUAUUGGUCAAUGGACGAGAGUCUGAACCAGCCAAGUAGCGUGAAGGAUGAAGGUCCUACGGAUUGUAAACUUCUUUUAUAAGGGAAUAAAACCUCCCACGUGUGGGAGCUUGUAUGUACCUUAUGAAUAAGCAUCGGCUAACUCCGUGCCAGCAGCCGCGGUAAUACGGAGGAUGCGAGCGUUAUCCGGAUUUAUUGGGUUUAAAGGGAGCGCAGACGGGUCGUUAAGUCAGCUGUGAAAGUUUGGGGCUCAACCUUAAAAUUGCAGUUGAUACUGGCGUCCUUGAGUGCGGUUGAGGUGUGCGGAAUUCGUGGUGUAGCGGUGAAAUGCUUAGAUAUCACGAAGAA